rnacentral:rRNA from 1 species
AUCAGUGCCAAUAGCAAGAGGAUCACCUGAUACCAUUCCGAACUCAGUAGUUAAAAACCCUCUUUACGCCGACGAUAAAUAAAAGGUGAAAAUAGGAAGGUGCUUUUU